UACGAAGGGGGGCUAGCGUUACUCGGAAUCACUGGGCGUAAAGCGCACGUAGGCGGCUUUUUAAGUCAGGGGUGAAAUCCUGGAGCUCAACUCCAGAACUGCCUUUGAUACUGAGAAGCUUGAGUCCGGGAGAGGUGAGUGGAACUGCGAGUGUAGAGGUGAAAUUCGUAGAUAUUCGCAAGAACACCAGUGGCGAAGGCGGCUCACUGGCCCGGUACUGACGCUGAGGUGCGAAAGCGUGGGGAGCAAACAGG
rnacentral:rRNA from 1 species